GGGCCAGACUCCUACGGGAGGCAGCAGUGGGGAAUAUUGGGCAAUGGGCGCAAGCCUGACCCAGCAACGCCGCGUGAAGGAAGAAGGCUUUCGGGUUGUAAACUUCUUUUGUCAGGGACGAAGCAAGUGACGGUACCUGACGAAUAAGCCACGGCUAACUACGUGCCAGCAGCCGCGGUAAUACGUAGGUGGCAAGCGUUAUCCGGAUUUAUUGGGUGUAAAGGGCGUGUAGGCGGGAAUGCAAGUCAGAUGUGAAAACUAUGGGCUCAACCCAUAGCCUGCAUUUGAAACUGUUUUUCUUGAGUACUGGAGAGGCAGACGGAAUUCCUAGUGUAGCGGUGAAAUGCGUAGAUAUUAGGAGGAACACCAGUGGCGAAGGCGGUCUGCUGGACAGCAACUGACGCUGAGGCGCGAAAGCGUGGGGAGCAAACAGGAUUAGAUACCCUGGUACG
rnacentral:rRNA from 1 species